AGAGUUUGAUCCUGGCUCAGGACGAACGCUAGCGGCGGGCUUAAUACAUGCAAGUUUAGGGGUUCAGCAAUGGACACCGGCGGACGGGUGCGUAACACGUAUGCAACCUGCCCUUUACUGGAGGAUACUCCGGAGAAAUUCGGCACAACACUCCAUAUACUCAUACUUUCGCAUGGGAGAAUGAGGAAAGGUUACGGUAAAGGAUGGGCAUGCGUCUGAUUAGCUAGUUGGCGAGGUAACGGCUCACCAAGGCGACGAUCAGUAGCUGGUCUGAGAGGAUGAUCAGCCACACUGGCACUGAGAUACGGGCCAGACUCCUACGGGAGGCAGCAGUAGGGAAUAUUGGUCAAUGGGCGAAAGCCUGAACCAGCCACGCCGCGUGCAGGAAGAAGGUCCUCUGGAUUGUAAACUGCUUUUGCCAAGGGAUAAAGAGAGGCUAUACGCCUAAAUGAAGGUACUUGGUGAAUAAGCCACGGCUAACUACGUGCCAGCAGCCGCGGUAAUACGUAGGUGGCAAGCGUUGUCCGGAUUCACUGGGUUUAAAGGGUGCGUAGGCGGCUCCAUAAGUCAGUCGUUAAAGGUAUGGGCUUAACCCAAAUAAGGCGAUUGAUACUGUGGAGCUUGAAUUCGUUGGAGGUAUCCGGAAUGCGUAGUGUAGCGGUGAAAUGCACAGAUAUUACGCAGAACACCAAUUGCGGAGGCAGGAUACUACGACGAGAUUGACGCUGAGGCACGAAAGUGUGGGGAGCGAACAGGAUUAGAUACCCUGGUAGUCCACACUGUAAACGAUGGUUACUAGAUGUUCGGUGGCAAUACUGAGUGUUCAAGCGAAAGCGAUAAGUAACCCACCUGGGGAGUACGACCGCAAGGUUGAAACUCAAAGGAAUUGACGGGGGCCCGCACAAGCGGUGGAGCAUGUGGUUUAAUUCGAUGAUACGCGAGGAACCUUACCUGGGCUAGAAUGCCUUUGACCGUCCCUGAAAGGGGAUUUCUCUUCGGAGCAAAGUGCAAGGUGCUGCAUGGUUGUCGUCAGCUCGUGCCGUGAGGUGUUGGGUUAAGUCCCGCAACGAGCGCAACCCUUAUCAGUAGUUGCCAACAGGUAAUGCUGGGGACUCUACUGAGACUGCCUUCGCAAGGAGUGAGGAAGGUGGGGAUGACGUCAAAUCAUCAUGGCCCUUACGCCCAGGGCUACACACGUGCUACAAUGGCAGGUACAGAGGGUCGCAAAGUGGUGACACUAAGCCAAUCUCAAAAAGCCUGUCCCAGUUCGGAUUGAAGUCUGCAACUCGACUUCAUGAGGUUGGAAUCGCUAGUAAUCGCAGAUCAGCCAUGCUGCGGUGAAUACGUUCCCGGGCCUUGUACACACCGCCCGUCAAGCCAUGGAAGCUGGGGGUACCUGAAGGCGGUAUCCGCAAGGAGCUGUUUAGGGUAAAACUGGUAACUGGGGCUAAGUCGGAACAAGGUAGCCGUACCGGAAGGUGCGGCUG
rnacentral:rRNA from 1 species